UCGUUCCUACGGGGGGCAGCAGUAGGGAAUCUUCCACAAUGGACGAAAGUCUGAUGGAGCAACGCCGCGUGAGUGAAGAAGGGUUUCGGCUCGUAAAGCUCUGUUGGUAGUGAAGAAAGAUAGAGGUAGUAAAUGGCCUUUAUUUGACGGUAAUUACUUAGAAAGUCACGGCUAAAUACGUGCCAGCAGCCGCGGUAAUACGGAGGUGGCAAGCGUUGUCCGGAUUUAUUUGGCGUAAAGCGA
rnacentral:rRNA from 1 species